GUGGUUUGUUUCGCCGCUCACCAUCGUCUCUUCGUCGUCCUGCUCUCCAUCAAAGCAUGCAUUAUUGGUCCCAAAGGAGGAAGACUACAUUGAAUGGUUUAAAAAUGCUGGCUUCAAAGACGUCAAGCUUAAAAGGAUAGGUCCAAAGUGGUACCGUGGUGUGCGGAGGCAUGGUUUGAUCAUGGGUUGCUCUGUGAUUGGUGUGAAACCAUUUUGUGGAGACUCUCCCCUCAAGCUUGGUCCAAAGGUAGAGGAUGUGAAGAAGCCUCUGAAUCCACUUGUGUUUCUUUCUCGAUUAAUUCUUGGUGCAAUUGCAGCCACUUAGUCCAGAGGCAUUUGCUUCAAAUUUUAGGAUUAAUGUUUCUGACUUGAUUAACUUCUUUGUUUUCCAUCCUUUGUGAUUGUUACUUGUAUCUCUGGAAAAAAAAA